ACAAGCAGCGGAGCAUGUGGUUUAAUUCGAAGCAACGCGAAGAACCUUACCAGAUCUUGACAUCCAAUUGACCAUCUUUUAUCGAGAUUUUGCCUUCGGGUACAAUUGAGACAGGUGGUGCAUGGUUGUCGUCAGCUCGUGUCGUGAGAUGUUGGGUUAAGUCCCGCAACGAGCGCAACCCUUGUGUUUAGUUGCAAACAGGUCAAGCUGUGCACUCUAGACAGACUGCCGUGGACAACACGGAGGAAGGUGGGGAUGACGUCAAAUCAUCAUGCCCCUUAUGAUCUGGGCUACACACGUGCUACAAUGGCCGGUACAACGGGCAGCGAAGGAGCGAUCCGGAGCGAAUCCUAAAAAGCCGGUCCCAGUUCGGAUUGCAGGCUGAAACUCGCCUACAUGAAGUUGGAGUUGCUAGUAAUCGCGAAUCAGAAUGUCGCGGUGAAUGCGUUCCCGGGUCUU
rnacentral:rRNA from 1 species